CAAUAAGCGGAGGAAAAGAAACUAACAAGGAUUCCCCUAGUAACUGCGAGUGAAGCGGGAAGAGCUCAAAUUUAAAAUCUGGUAGUCUUUGGCUGCCCGAGUUGUAAUCUAGAGAAGCGUUAUCCGCGCUGGACCGUGUAUAAGUCUCCUGGAAUGGAGCGUCAUAGAGGGUGAGAAUCCCGUCUUUGACACGGACUACCAGGGCUUUGUGAUGCGCUCUCAAAGAGUCGAGUUGUUUGGGAAUGCAGCUCUAAAUGGGUGGUAAAUUCCAUCUAAAGCUAAAUAUUGGCGAGAGACCGAUAGCGAACAAGUACCGUGAGGGAAAGAUGAAAAGAACUUUGGAAAGAGAGUUAAACAGUACGUGAAAUUGUUGAAAGGGAAACGCUUGAAGUCAGUCACGUUGGCUAGGAAUCAGCCUUGCUUUUGCUUGGUGUAUUUCCUGGUUUUAACGGGUCAGCAUCAAUUUUGACCGGUGGAAAAAGGUCGAGGGAAUGUGGCAUCUUAGGAUGUGUUAUAGCCCUUGGUCGUAUACAUCGGUUGGGAUUGAGGAACUCAGCACGCCGAAAGGUCGGGUUUUCGAACCACGUUCGUGCUUAGGAUGCUGGCAUAAUGGCUUUAAUCGACCCGUCUUGAAACACGGACCAAGGAGUCUAACAUGCCUGCGAGUGUUUGGGUGGAAAACCCGAGCGCGUAAUGAAAGUGAAAGUUGAGAUCCCUGUCGUGGGGAGCAUCGACGCCCGGACCAGACCUUUUGUGACGGAUCCGCGGUAGAGCAUGUAUGUUGGGACCCGAAAGAUGGUGAACUAUGCCUGAAUAGGGUGAAGCCAGAGGAAACUCUGGUGGAGGCUCGUAGCGAUUCUGACGUGCAAAUCGAUCGUCAAAUUUGGGUAUAGGGGCGAAAGACUAAUCGAACCAUCUAGUAGCUGGUUCCUGCCGAAGUUUCCCUCAGGAUAGCAGAAACUCAUAUCAGAUUUAUGUGGUAAAGCGAAUGAUUA
rnacentral:rRNA from 1 species